CGUAGAGUUUCAAAUCUACGCUUUUGCUAUUUUGGAGAUUCCUAGACUUUUGUGUGGCUCGCCUCAACUUGGAAGAUUAGAGUUUCUAGAAGAUCAAAUGUGAACAUCUGGUAGUUGAGGUUUUGCUUAGGGUCACUCUAGGAUGUAGUUUUAUCCUUUGUUUUAUGAAGUAGGUAGAUUGUAAAUAUUUGCUUUGUGAAGUUGGAUGUAUUGAUGGAUUCACGAAUAGUAUGUUUUAUUUUGAGAGUAGUGGUGCAUGGAAACUAUCUUAGUAGCAUGAUGAUAUUUUUGUCUUUGAAUGGAUCAUCUCAUAUAUGUUGGCCAAUCGAAGGGUCUUAUGCACUAUUGGUGAUGUGAUAUAAGAAUUAUACAGGUGAUUAUUGUGUACA